rnacentral:rRNA from 1 species
CGUAAUAGCUCACUGGUCGAGUCGGCCUGCGCGGAAGAUGUAACGGGGCUAAACCAUGCACCGAAGCUGCGGCAGCGAACGUAUCACUUAAAGCGAUUCAGCGGGUUACGAUUGACGGAGCGAAGCGACGUCAAAGCGUAUACAAAGUCGAGUCGGUUUAAGGAUACGUUCGUUGGGUAGGGGAGCGUUCUGUAAGCCUGUGAAGGUGUGUCGUGAGGCAUGCUGGAGGUAUCAGAAGUGCGAAUGCUGACAUAAGUAACGAUAAAGCGGGUGAAAAGCCCGCUCGCCGGAAGACCAAGGGUUCCUGUCCAACGUUAAUCGGGGCAGGGUGAGUCGACCCCUAAGGCGAGGCCGAAAGGCGUAGUCGAUGGGAAACGGGUUAAUAUUCCCGUACUUGGUGUUACUGCGAAGGGGGGACGGAGAAGGCUAUGUUGGCCGGGCGACGGUUGUCCCGGUUUAAGCGUGUAGGUGUGUGUUCCAGGUAAAUCCGGUUCACUUUAACACUGAGGCGUGACGACGAGGCACUACGGUGCUGAAGCAACAAAUGCCCUGCUUCCAGGAAAAGCCUCUAAGCAUCAGGUAACAUCAAAUCGUACCCCAAACCGACACAGGUGGUCAGGUAGAGAAUACCAAGGCGCUUGAGAGAACUCGGGUGAAGGAACUAGGCAAAAUGGUGCCGUAACUUCGGGAGAAGGCACGCUGACACGUAGGUGAAGUGAUUUACUCAUGGAGCUGAAGUCAGUCGAAGAUACCAGCUGGCUGCAACUGUUUAUUAAAAACACAGCACUGUGCAAACACGAAAGUGGACGUAUACGGUGUGACGCCUGCCCGGUGCCGGAAGGUUAAUUGAUGGGGUCAGCGCAAGCGAAGCUCCUGAUCGAAGCCCCGGUAAACGGCGGCCGUAACUAUAACGGUCCUAAGGUAGCGAAAUUCCUUGUCGGGUAAGUUCCGACCUGCACGAAUGGCGUAAUGAUGGCCAGGCUGUCUCCACCCGAGACUCAGUGAAAUUGAACUCGCUGUGAAGAUGCAGUGUACCCGCGGCAAGACGGAAAGACCCCGUGAACCUUUACUAUAGCUUGACACUGAACAUUGAGCCUUGAUGUGUAGGAUAGGUGGGAGGCUUUGAAGUGUGGACGCCAGUCUGCAUGGAGCCGACCUUGAAAUACCACCCUUUAAUGUUUGAUGUUCUAACGUGGACCCGUGAUCCGGGUUGCGGACAGUGUCUGGUGGGUAGUUUGA